rnacentral:tRNA from 1 species
UAUAAAGUGCCUGAAAAAAAGGAUUAUUAUGAUAUAAUAAAUUAUGUUAUUAUUUAACCUUUAUAA